AUUGAACGCUGGCGGCAUGCUUUACACAUGCAAGUCGAACGGCAGCAUGGGUGCUUGCACCUGAUGGCGAGUGGCGAACGGGUGAGUAAUACAUCGGAACGUACCAAGUAAUGGGGGAUAACUACUCGAAAGAGUGGCUAAUACCGCAUACGCCCUAAGGGGGAAAGCAGGGGAUCUUCGGACCUUGCGUUAUUUGAGCGGCCGAUGUCUGAUUAGCUAGUUGGUGGGGUAAGAGCCUACCAAGGCGACAAUCAGUAGCGGGUCUGAGAGGAUGAUCCGCCACACUGGGACUGAGACACGGCCCAGACUCCUACGGGAGGCAGCAGUGGGGAAUUUUGGACAAUGGGGGCAACCCUGAUCCAGCCAUGCCGCGUGAGUGAAGAAGGCCUUCGGGUUGUAAAGCUCUUUCGGCCGGGAAGAAAUCGUAUGGGUUAAUACCCUGCGCGGAUGACGGUACCGGCAUAAGAAGCACCGGCUAACUACGUGCCAGCCGCCGCAGUAACAC
rnacentral:rRNA from 1 species